GCAAAAGGAUACUUGUCAGAGGAACUGAUUUACUGCAAGAUUUAAUGAGGUUCUUGUCAGAGCCUGGUGUAGUGGUGUAAAUGCAAACGUCAGGUCAGUAUAAAUCAUAGGGGUAGGGGACAGGGAGAAAGAAAUGCUCUGCUUCUCACCAAGAGAUAAACCAGCUCCAUGCUUAAAGUGCUCUCCUCCUUGAUCUGCCAUUUGAGAUAAGCUAAUAUACAGCUCCAUUAAGUGUCCUCUGCUGCCUUAAUUGCUGAUUAACUGGAGGGUCAAGGCCCCAGCUGGGCAGGGUUCAUUCCCCCCAGGAUCGGAUGGCUUUCACAAACCUGGGACCUUACUCUGCUAUGAACUCCUUUUGCUCCCAUGCAGCCAAUGCUCUGCUCUUCUUUUUGCACCCUCUGAGCUGAGAGCCUUUGGGUGUGCAGGUAGAGGCAGGCAAACUGUGAGGCUGUCUCUCCUCCCCCAGCCUCCUGCUUGCAUGGAAUCUGCAUCAAUUUGAGUGUGCCACGAGUUGCUCAGGUUUAGGAGGAGAUGACCUCUCACUUCAGAGUUAUUGGGAACAGCUUAAAGCCUUGAUUCCUCUGGAAAUGCAGGAAUAAACAUGGGGACCACUGGGCACCAUCUCUGUGCCCGUUCUGCUGUUGUGAGUGCCUGGGGAUCCAACCUGUGGAAAUUGAAGUCUCUGAGGAUUCCUCUGUGACCAAAGACUGGAUUUCUCUUCUCAAAGGUGAGUACCAUGAAGCGUGCUAUCACAUGUACUGUUCUUUCCCAUAUCAUUCUGGUCAUGUGUAUAUUUGGUUAUUGCUGGAUGCUGUGAAUGGCACAGGUCACCCAUGCAGUGAUGAGCACUGCAGGUUUGUG
rnacentral:lncRNA from 1 species